UGGGCUAUAGCCAAGCGGUUAAGGCACAGGACUUUGACUCCUGGAUGCCCGGGUUCGAAUCCCGGUAGCCUAG
rnacentral:tRNA from 1 species